AAUUAGACAAUCGCUAGUAAUGAAAUUUUGCUAGAGGAAAGUCCGGGCUCCAUAGGGAAGAGUGCCAGGUAAUACCUGGGGGGCGUGAGCCUACGGAAAGUGCAGCAGAGAGUAGACCGCCGAUGCCGUUAGGCAGGUAAGGGUGAAAGGGUGUGGUAAGAGCGCACCGCACAACUGGUAACAGUUUGUGGCAUGGUAAACCCCGCUUGGAGCAAGACCAAAUAGGAUUACUUAAGCGUGUCCCGCGCUGUAAUCGGGUAGGUUGCUUGAGCCUAUUGGUGACAAUAGGCCUAGAGAAAUGAUUGUCCGCGACAGAACCCGGCUUAUCGAUUUACUUA
rnacentral:RNase_P_RNA from 1 species